CGUCUAUAUACGUAUAGCAUAUCAAUAAGCGGAGGAAAAGAAACUAACAAGGAUUCCCUUAGUAACGGCGAGUGAAGCGGGAAGAGCUCAAAUUUGAAAUCUUCAAGGUUCUACCUUGACGAAUUGUAGUUUAUAAGAAGUGUUUUCGGUUAGAUGGAGUAGUCAAAAGUUCUUUGGAAUAGGACAUCAUAGAGGGUGAGAAUCCCGUAUUUGAUCAUUCUCUUCCUAGCUUUGUGAUACACUUUCAACGAGUCGGAUUGUUUGGGAAUGCAGUCCAAAAUGGAUGGUAAAUUUCAUCUAAAGCUAAAUAUUGGCGAGAGACCGAUAGCGAACAAGUACCGUGAGGGAAAGAUGAAAAGAACUUUGAAAAGAGAGUUAAACAGUACGUGAAAUUGUCAAAAGGGAAGCGUUUGACACCAGUGUUGUUUUUCCGAAAAUCAAUUACGAAUGUUUUAUUUUUGAGGAGUUAUGACUUCAUCGGCUUGCUCCUUUCUUUAUGAAACUUUCUUAAUGCACUUUUCGGUUAACAAGUCAACAUCAAUUUCUUUUGUUGUAAAAGGGUAUGAGGAAGGUGGCUUUCUUUUCGGAGAAAGUGUUUAUAGCCUUGUGCCUCUGCAACCGGAGAGAUUGAGGUCUGCAGCGUCGAUCCUUCGGGGUUAGAUACAUUUGUGCUAAGUUAUAGCUUUUCAUAGACAACUUGUUGACUAUGUUUAGUCUUGUAGCUUACUCGCUUAUGCUAUUUUACCUACGCUUAGGAUGUUGACGCGCGUGUGUGCGUG
rnacentral:rRNA from 1 species